rnacentral:lncRNA from 1 species
CAGCCAAAUAUCGAAGAUUGCCGAUUCUCAAGGUCAUUGAGUAGUCUUAUAAAUAGGUGACUAAGUGAUGUCAGUCCAAUUGUCUAUAAUUGUUUUAUAGAAUUUUUCUUGGUCCCACCAUUUAGAUAAAGCAUUCUAUAGAAUCCAAGGUGGCCUUUAUAAGGGCUACAAUUUCAUAGUGAUGGCCUUUAAAAGGUCAAGCCUUAGGGAGCAUUUCCCAAAGGAAGACCUACUAUCAAGGGCCCAAAGGGCACAUCACAUGUCUGACAUUAUCAAGGGCUUAGAGGGCAUGCCACAUGUUUGAUGAUUAUGUCAGUUGAGUUAAUCCCAGUCGUCAAGAUUGUCUGUAAAAGGAGGGGGUUGCCCCCUAUGGAUGGGGUGAAUCCCAUUCUCUUUAUUCUUUCUCCGUUUCUCCUUUAGCCGCAUGGACCCCUUGCUGGUGGACUGGCUUUUGAACCACCUCAAGGUACUCUAGCUCACUCUAUCAUAGGUCAUAGAAAGAGUAGCCAAGAUUAAGAUGGAGCUAAGGCUUCUAUGAAGUAAGCUAACCAUGAAGAACGCUGCUGACAUCCAUCGAAGGGUGGUGGAAAUAUAGGCUAAGCUAAGAGGAGACCAAGUCAAGGCAAAGGAGGUGAAGCUCAAUAUAUCUGAGCUUA